GUUUAGGUUGGGCUGAGCUGGGUCUGGGUCGACUGUGCAGGGACAGUGGCUGGGCUCGGCAGGGACGAUGGCUGGGCUCGGGCAGGGACGGUGGCUGGGCUCGGGCAGGGACGUUGGCUGGGCUCGGCAGAGACGGUGGCUGUGCAGGGAGGGGCUAGUGUAGGUUUGGGAUUUUUUCUUUAACUGUUUGGAAAUUGUUCAAGCUUAUAUGAAGUGGGCUUCUGGGAUUUUUUCGGUUUGAUUUCUUAUCAUAUCUGAUUUUUUUUGUUGUGAAAUGCAAUUUACUCUAUCUGGGUAUGUGAAAGUUUGAAUCUUUUGUAGUUUUACUUCACAGUUUAAAUGGGGGAGUUCUUCUGUAAUCUUGGUGUGUGAAUUAUGGUUCAGUUUAGUUACUAUGGCAGCUUGUAGCUGAGCUCCCAAUUUUACUUCUUUAACAUUGUUCUAACAAUCUGCGUAGUUCAUAUCUAGGAGUACAAGCUUAUACUUUACAUUAAAAUAAUCGACUUAAUUCUCAUAAGAGUAAUGCUUUAGACUUUAAACAAGUUAUGUUGGUACUUAGUUUGUUUCAUCUAAGAGGAUAGUUCAAUCUUUUAGGACCCAAAUUUGCUCUUUUUCUUAUCUUAAGUUCUUUCAACAUUGAACAAUUUUAUCAUAUUGUUUUAAUUCCAGGGACAAAUAAGAUUUGGUAGUUGAUCAUUUGAAGAAUCUUUUCCUAGUUGAGCUUAAUAUCAGAAGUAGGAAAUGGUUAACAGGUUUGUUCAGUGCUUUCAUACUUUGAAGACCAUUUCGAGCACAAGACGAUUACGAGUUUCUCACACUUGUUUGUCUAUUUCUUUGAACAUAUAUGGAGUGUUUUGAUUUAGAGAAAAUAUCAUGUUGUAGUGCAUAGAUGGGUUCAAGCAUUUAUUUGCUUCCCUAUUGCGGUGCUUUGAUCUCGGCUUGUAUAACCAAUCAAGAGGCCUAGACGAUCCUGCAGUUCUAGCAUAGGAGACAGUGUGUAUGAUUCUAAAUUCUGACCCAAACAGAUUAGCGAUUUUUAGUAUACUAUGAUGCUUGCUGAUAAUUCAUUUCAUUGUUAAAUUAUUAUAUUUUAAAGUAGAAAUCAUUGAACCCAAGAAGGGUAGCUCAAAUGUUCAGUCUUGUGGUUUGCUCCUACAAGUUCUGAGGUUUGACUUUUUUUUAGUACCUACAUAAUAUUGGGGUUAGGUGAGGUGAGGAGCUUUUUUUUUUUUGGUCAACAAAAAAGUAGGAAUCAAUGAAUAUUCUUUGCUUAUUUUAGACAGAAUUUAAAGUAUGGAAUAAUUGGAAAUUCUUUGCCUAUUUCUGACUAUGACUAAAUUUAAAGUUACUGCUGCUAUCCAACCUUUUCAUAGGACACUAUAAAACCUGUCUAUUGAACAUUGGGGCUUCCUUGUAUGCAGUUAGCGUAAGCGAAAUUGAAGCACUUUAUGAACUUUUUAAGAAGAUCAGUAGUGCUAUGAUUGAUGAUGGAUUAAUCAACAAGGUCUAUAUUGAGAUGCAUUUCUUUGGCGCAAUACUUGACAACAUUGAAAGUUGAAGUUUUUAGAAUAAAAAAUAUAUUUCACUAACAUUGGAUACAUUUCUUGUUUAUUAUUUGAUGAUGAUAAAAUUUGAUUGUAGUAUAAACUAUCAUGUAAUAUGAUUUUGUAAGCCGAGUAGACUAAAUACUGAAAUUAUAUUUUUGAGUAAUUAAUAAAAAAUUAUUUUGUUGUA